CUGUCCUCCAGGAGAGUACCUGAUUCUAUCUAAACUACAAAGGGCAAAAUAACAGAGUAAAUUCCCAAGUAAUGGAGGCAAAUAUAAAAAGGAAUAUUAUUUAUUACCAUCUUUAUUAACACUCACAUGUAACCUUUGUUUUUUACACAAAAGUCUACUUUAGAAGGAUGCCUCCUUGAUUUAUCAUGCCCAACAGGGCCUUAUGUUCCUGGAUCAUUUUCCCUUUCUCCACCCCAGCCCACCCCCACAUCCAAAUUAUUCUUACAUGUUCACAGAUACCACGAAAAUUUUGUAAACAAGAUUUGGAUUACUGGAACUUGAUUUCAUCAACAUUCCACUUCAAGAUGAAGGCAGGUGCAGGAGAGGGUAAGAAAUGGGGGAACUGGGAAGGGAGAAGGGGCAGGGGUCAGGGAGAAGGGGCAACUAGUUAGAACUUUCAAGUCUUGCCUUUUCUGAGGUGUGUGAGCUCUGUGUGUGUGUGUGUGUGUGUGUGUGUGUGUGUGUGUGUGUUCCUUGAAAUUCACCGACUCAAAAACAUUGACAGCAAGUGCCUGUGUGGUUGUUUAUAUUAUAUAUCUAUAAUAGAACAUGUGGGUUUCUCAGUUUGGGUCUGGGUUGUGUUUGUUGAAACACUCCACAGUGCUCUUUGUGGGUGGAGUCUACCGGGCACCAGAUCUCCUGGGAACGCCUCUCAGAGCCGGGGCUUCCGAAGCAGGGUCUUGCUGAGAUCUUUGACCUCCUCGGGGCUGUUCACCCGCUCAUAGCCCAGCACAGCCAUGGGCUGGUAGCAAAACUCCUCCACCUGUUUGAUCUGCUGGAAGGUGAGUGCGGUCCGCCAGGCGUUGGCGGCCUGUGUGGCAUUGCGUGCAGACACCACGAAAGGCUUAGAGGAGGAGCCCGAGCCACUGGUCAUGUUCAGGGCGAACUGCUCCAUUUCAGGGCUCACUAGCAGCCCCACAAAGUCAUAUACCUUCCGCAAUGUCUUAACGGGGUCUCCCACCAGAUCCUCGUACCGCACCACCAGGUAGUGGCCCUGCAGCCAGUCAGGGGGCUGCAGGGCUGUCUGCAGCGUCUUGGCCAUGCUGUUGCAUAUGACCUCCAUAGCGCCGAGCGCAUGGUAGUCUGCUGGGCCACCCAUGCCCUCCUUCUUGGCACUCAGCUUAUGCCCAGCGGCCUCCAGGAAGGGCAUACGAUGGGCCCGUGGGUCCCGGCUGCGUACCACCUGUAGGCUCUCUCGGAUGAGGCCAUGGCGCGAGCGGAUACGUGAGCUGGCAACUGCACGGGGAUCACGCACCAGGUGGAUGACCUUGAGGUCCAGGGCCGGGUCUCGAAGCAGCGGCGCCAACACUGCCACGUCAAAGACGCGCACACCCUUGAUAACCAGCGUGCGGUACUUGCGGCACUCCUCUUCGAAGCGUGCCAGGCGCUGAGGCGGGCACUUCUUGCACACCCUGUCGUCCACCAGCCCCACGACCUCCUUGCGGUAGGCGGGGCAGAGGGGCGAGGAGCACACCACCUUGUUGGUGGCGGCACCGAAAGAUGCCCAGCGUGGUGAGGUUGCGCCCCCCGCUGCCAGCGGGGCUGUACAGCUGGAAAACGGAGAGAUCGCAUCGGUAGAGAGCGCUCAGCAUGUCCCGCGCUGCUCCCUGCAGGGAGACAGCAUCCCCCGGGUACAGUUUUUGCCACACGUGCCACACUGGCUCGUAGAGAAAGAACACCUCCGGGUUCUGGUUGAAGAGCUCGCCGAAGAAGGACGAGCCCGAGCGCCACGUGGUGAACACAUAGACCAGUUGCCGCUUGUCCCCGCCGCCCCGGGUGCCAUUUCCCUGUGGGGCCGCGGCCCCUACCACCCCCGCCGCAGCUGCAGGCGCUGACCCUACGGCGGCUGCAGCAGGAGAGCGGUACGGGGUGCGGGGGUCUAAACGCGCGGGAGCGCGCGGGAGCGCGGCAGGAGGCAGCCCUGGGCGUCCCCAGCCGCCCCCAGAUGCCCCCGCCGCGGCACCCAGCGGCCCGUCGGGGUUGCACUGCUGCAGUGGCUCCUUGUGCCACUUGUAGUCCAGGAGGUUGAGCAUGGUGAGCACCAGCAGCAGUGCAUAGCCUGCGCACAGCACUAGCGCCUUCCUGCGGAACACCUUCAUUCCGAGCGGGGACGCGGGCCAGCGGCGUCCCGGGCGCCGGGGCCAGGGCGGGAGCAGGGCACGCGGUGAGGCGGCAGGCACAGCCGGGGCCGGCCACGCGGCGGAGGCGGUCCUGCAGCCCGAGAGGGGGAGACGCAGUGGGCCGGCUGCGGGAGCCGGCACUGGGGCCGCGGCUCCGAGGUGGGCGCGGCGGCAGGGGCGGCUGGUGUCCGACGCCCAGGGCUGGCUCUCCCAUGGCAGCGGCUCCGCCAGAGACCUGUGAGAGGAAGCGGAGUGAGUGGGUGCGCCCCGGUCUUCCUCCCAGCUACCUCCUCCCUAAGUAAUGCCCACCCUAGAGUCUCCCGGCUCCUUACUCACCUGGAGCCGCGGGUGCGCUCAAGCGCCUCGGGAUCACCGACCAGCGCACUGUCCGGCUGUCACUCGUCCCUUGAUUGCUGCUCUCUUGCGGGGGAUCGAGGAGUCUUCGACGGGGCCGAGAGAUUCCGCAGCCCAGGCCCUGGGCAGACUUUCCUGGCAGCGAGCGCCCGAAGCUGGGGAAGGGAAACUUUCACUGGGCCCUGAGCCCUGCAGCGCGAUCCGCCGAGCCCUCGCGUCCCGGCUUCAGCGACGUCUCCCUGCUCUCUCGGGACCGCAGUUCCUUUCUCGCUCCGGGAGGAGAAGCGGGCUACAGGCGAAGGCGGGGGCGGGGGCCUUUAUAGAGGACCCAGCUCCCAACAAAACGGAUCUUCCUCUGUCGCUCUUCGCCUCGGCACAGCGAAUGUUUCCAUCUCCCCGGUGGCGGCGGCGGCGGCUGCUCCUCCCAUCACCAGGAGAUGCCCCCGCGGGCAGCGCAGACGAGCCCGCUGCGCCUUCGCCUCGGACCGGCCCGGAAGGACCCCGCACACGCAGUCGAGACGAACGAGCCCAGUCCGCAGCGCUCCCUGCCGCCCCGCCCGGCACCAGCCGCUUCUGGCCCACAGGGUCUCCAGGCAGAGGAAGCCCCGGCCGCCGCCGCGCGAAAGCGGCGCCCGCAAGGAUGCUGCUCCCCGACUCCCCUACGCCGAGCGCCCGCAGCGCGCUCCGCCCGGCCUCUGCGCGCUCCUGCCAGCCGGCGCCGGGUUGGUGCGCUCCCCUGUCUCGUCGCGCGGCUCCGCCCCUCCGCCGCUCUGCCCUCCUCCGCCCCGGGUCCCACGCCCGCCCUCUUCGUGGCGCCCGAUCCCGCCGCCGCCUCUUUGGGAGCCGGGGCCGCGACCCUUUUCACCUCGGCGCCGCCUGGGCCGCCGUCCUCGAGUUGGAAGACUUAGGUCUCCGUGCGCACAGCACCCGGGCGCCGACGCGGGAUUCGCAGCGCUCGGGCGCCUCAGGCUGUAAAUGACUGAGAUUCUGCGUGACUGCGGAGUUGAUCCCACGUUCUGGAAAACGUGUUGAAGAUAAAGUUUGGACCGAAAUCCCCCGGCAGCGGUACUCUCCGCUCUUCCCUGGGGUCGAGAGCAGCCCCUCCAGGAACCGAAGACGCACUGCUCCCGAGAGCCUCGGAGGAGCGCCCUUCUCAGGCUGCUGACGCCCGGCUCGCCCUGUCAGCUGCUCUGUGGUUUCUGCCUCGAAAAGGAAGUAAUAAAUCUUUCUGGCCCAGAGGUCAAAGAAGACGCUUCAACUUUCCUGGAGUGCACCGCGGGGAGACUUCUGCGCGUUUACCGGACCUGUAUACCGGGCUGCUUCGUUUUUAUUACGCCGCCGGCAGAGAACUAACCUCCCGCUUCAGAGAGCUGCGUCCGCGGUGACUGAAGUCCUCCGGAAUUGGGGUGAUGGCGGAGGAGGCGACUCUGUUCUAAUUUACAGCAAAACACUUGUCCCGUUUCUUGGCUUUUAGAGAUGAGAUCAAAGACCCUAGUCUCAAAGGAAACACUGUCGUUGAAAAUCGAAAGUCAUUUUUUAGCUAGUUUAAGUACUUUUUGUCAAAGAGAGAAUCCUAAGCCACAUCCUCAACUUCAUCUGUAAAAUGGGGACAACUAUCUGCUAAAGAGAGACCGGAGAGAAGUUAGAGCGCGCAUGGGAAAGGUAAAACCCCAGCGCAGGGCUGCGGGUGAGAAGACAAAUUGCUGUGGGACCAGAAGCUCAGUGGCCGCGGGCACAGUGAGGACCUCGAAGAGGUGACCCUUUGGAGUCGUUACUAACAAAUUUGAAGUUGCUGCAAAAUUACUGUUGUUCUACUUGAGGCAGCCUCUCUCCGCCAGGAGACCUACCUAAAUUUAAGAUGUUGCCGUUAGAGCCAUUAUUCUACAUGAAGUUACAGAAUCUUCCAAGUACGAGAACUCUUAGCGAGCUAAGUUGUUUUCCGUGCUAGAGGACAAGAACCACCUAACUGGAGCAGUACAUGUUCCGCACAGCUAGAGCUGCCACCUCCUCUAGUCUAUCAGCCAUUGCCCUGUGGCCUGAAGUGGGCAUCUUGCUUGGUUCUGCCUUCGCCCACAUCCACCAUCCUUUCCUUUGGUAAGGAUCUGAAGUGUUUGAGUCUUUGGUGGGACCUUCAGCCAAGGCACUCCUCCCAUGGACAGGCCCAUGACCUCAGUUCAGCCAAUUAGACAUUCUCUCCAUGGAAAUUUCAUUCAGUCAUUCACUCAUUCAUUCAUCCUAUAUGUAUUGCACUUCUAUCAUGUGCCAAGCAACCUGAAUCUUCAGCAGACACCAAAAAAUGAGAAACAAUUGUUGCCUUCUCAUCCCAACAACAGAGCCCUAAAGAUGUGGCCCAUUCUUCUCUCAGAAGGGAUCCUCUCUCUUUUAAACCUGUUGUUUUUCUAAAGAUUCUGUAAGCUACCCAGAUCUAUCAUAAAUCCCUCUCUUCUCCCCAUCAAGUUUCUCAGAGUCUGUUUCUGUUACACACAAUCAAAAUUGCCUAAUUAACAGAGUGGCUUGCUGCCCAGUUAUAGACUCAGUUUCACGCAUGCUUUUGUUUCUGUGCCUGAUUUCCAUCUGCUGUUACAUCAGUGCCUUCUAUGAGUUCCCGCUUUUAAAUGCCACUAGCCAGCCAACCAUCCCAAGAAACCCAAUCCCAGCCUCUCAUGAGCAAUGAGAUGACCUCUCCACUCCACCUUUCCUGGCCAUGUUUCAUACCACCAAUGACUGGAUCGUGCCCUGGGGCCCCUGACUGCCAGGACUGCCUCACACCAACUAGCAGCCCUUUGCAGUUAGAAAUCACAUCUCAACCAGUGUCUCAUCUCUGUCCCAAGGACCUGCUGGGCUUAUUUGUUAUCAUCUUCUUAUUUAAAAAGAUAAUUAGUACAUAAGAUAAAAGGCUCAAAAAGAUAAAAACAAGAAAAUUGAUCAAAAGGAAAAUAUCAGCGUUGUGGUCCAUAUAAUAUUCUAUGAGAUGCUGGUCAAUUGCUAGAGGUCAAAGAACUUGGCUCUGAGCUUCCUAGUAACUAUAGUAAAGAAGGAAGAUUGCUUAGGAAGUUGAAGACUUUGCCUGACAUAGAGACCCAAGAAAAAAAUUUUCUUCAACAAUAUGAGCUUCAUUCAUGUGAUUUCUUUGUUCAUUGCUUUAUUCUCAAUAUAUAUGGGAAUACUUAUGGUGUAUGUGUGUUCAAAAAAAUAGUUAUUGGCUCAGUUUGGGGUCCUUAUAAAAGAAUUGUAUAGUAUAAAAAGUAGACUAUGUCCUUAAAUAUGACUGUACAAUAAAAACAACUAUAGAGUUGGGAAGGAAGGUGCU
rnacentral:lncRNA from 1 species